AGGGCGCAUGGUGAAUGCCUUGGCUCUCAGAGGCGAAGAAGGACGUGACAAGCUGCGAUAAGCUGCGGGGAGGAGCAAAUAUCCGAUAUAUCCGCAGAUUUCCGAAUGGGGCAACCCGUUACGUUGAAGGCGUAACAUUCCGAGUGAUCGGGAGGCAAACCCGGGGAACUGAAACAUCUUAGUACCCGGAGGAAGAGAAAACAAAAGUGAUUCCCUGAGUAGUGGCGAUCGAAAGGGGAAAAGCCCAAACCAUAAUUGUUUCGGCAGUUAUGGGGUAGAAGGACCUCGACAGGGGCAAAUGAUAAGAAGCGGAAGUUUUCUGGAAAGGGGCACCGCAGGGGGUGAAAGUCCCGUACGCGUAGAUAUCAUUUGUUUCAGGGGUAUCCUGAGUAAGUCGGGACACGAGAAAUCCUGAUUGAAACAGCCAGGACCAUCUGGCAAGGCUAAAUACUACUGAGAGACCGAUAGUGGACCAGUACCGUGAGGGAAAGGUGAAAAGCACCCCGAACAGGGGAGUGAAAUAGUACCUGAAACCGUGCGCUUACAACCUGUCGGAGUCCCGAUACUUCGGGAUGACGGCGUGCCUUUUGCAUAAUGAGCCUACGAGUUACACUUUACUAGCGAGGUUAAGACUUAGAGAGUUGGAGCCGAAGCGAAAGCGAGUCUGAAAAGGGCGUAUAGUUAGUGGAGGUAGACGCGAAACUUUGUGAUCUAUCCUUGGUCAGGCUGAAGUUCCGGUAACACGGGAUGGAGGGCCGAACUAGUUGACGUUGAAAAGUCUUUGGAUGAACUGAGGAUAGGGGUGAAAGGCUAAUCAAACUGAGAAAUAGCUCGUACUCCCCGAAAUGCAUUUAGGUGCAGCCUCGGCGGUAGUCUUGCAGAGGUAGAGCUACUGAUAAGGCUAGAGGGCUUCACCGCCUAUCGAUCCUUGACAAACUCCGAAUGCUGCAAGAUGUUCCCCGGGAGUGAGCCUGCGGGUGCUAAGGUCCGUGGACAAAAGGGAAAGAACCCAGAUCAUCAGCUAAGGUCCCGAAAUAUAUGCUAAGUUGAAUUAAACGAGGUGCGACUGCUUAGACAGCUAGGAUGUUGGCUUGGAAGCAGCCAUUCAUUUAAAGAGUGCGUAACAGCUCACUAGUCGAGCGGUUGUGCGUGGAUAAUAAACGGGCAUAAGCAUAUUACCGAAGCUAUGGACUUCCGAGAAAUCGGGAUUGGUAGGGGAGCAUUCCAGUCGGCGUAGAAGACCUCGCGUAAGCGGGAUUGGAGCGUCUGGAAAAGAAGAUGUAGGCAUAAGUAACGAUAAUGGAGGCGAGAAACCUCCACACCGAAAGACUAAGGUUUCCUGAUCAACGCUAAUCGGAUCAGGGUUAGUCGGGGCCUAAGGGUAAGCCGGUAGGCGAUCCUGAUGGACAACUGGUUAAUAAUCCAGUACCACCGUAUACUGCGAAGGGGCGACGGAGGAGUGAAAGAUCCGCGUACUGACGGAAUAGUACGUUAAAGGGUGUAGUUAUACUUCAGGGUUAACAGCUUUGGAGUGAUGAACCUGAGAGUACCAUGAGCCUUCGGGCAAGUGGAUAGUGAUCCUAAUCAGACUUCCAAGAAAACCCUCUAAGCGUCAGGUAUAUGGUGCCCGUACCACAAACCGACACAGGUAGUCGAGGAGAGAAUCCUAAGGUGCUCGAGUGAUCCGUGGCUAAGGAACUAGGCAAAUUAGACCUGUAACUUCGGAAAAAAGGUCUCCUGACUAUAGACGUCAGGACGCAGAUAAAUAGCCCAGGCGACUGUUUAGCAAAAACACAUGGCUUUGCGAAAUCGAAAGAUGAUGUAUAAGGCCUGACACCUGCCCGGUGCCGGAAGGUUAAGAGGGGGGGUUAUUCCCAGCAAUGGGGAGAAGCUCUGAAUUGAAGCCCCGGUAAACGGCGGCCGUAACUAUAACGGUCCUAAGGUAGCGAAAUUCCUUGUCGGGUAAGUUCCGACCUGCACGAAUGGUGUAACGAUCUGGGCACUGUCUCAGCCACGAGCUCGGUGAAAUUGUAGUUCCGGUGAAGAUGCCGGGUACCCGCAACGGGACGGAAAGACCCCGUGAACCUUUACUAUAGCUUAGCAUUGAUUUUGGGUAAGUGAUGUGUAGGAUAGGUCGGAGACUGUGAAGCGGCUUCGCCAGGAGUCGUGGAGUCACCCUUGAAAUACGACCCUUUAUUUACCUGGAACCUAAUCCCGAGUAUUCGGGAGACAUUGCUUGGUGGGUAGUUUGACUGGGGUGGUCGCCUCCAAAAGAGUAACGGAGGCUCCUCAAGGUGCCCUCAGCACGAUUGGUAACCGUGCGCAGAGUGUAAUGGCAUAAGGGCGCUUGACUGUGAGACAUACAAGUCGAUCAGGUAGGAAACUAGAGCAUAGUGAUCCGGUGGUUCCGCAUGGAAGGGCCAUCGCUCAAAGGAUAAAAGGUACUCCGGGGAUAACAGGCUGAUCGCUCCCAAGAGCUCAUAUCGACGGAGCGGUUUGGCACCUCGAUGUCGGCUCGUCACAUCCUGGGGCUGGAGAAGGUCCCAAGGGUUCGGCUGUUCGCCGAUUAAAGUGGCACGCGAGCUGGGUUCAGAACGUCGUGAGACAGUUCGGUCCCUAUCUGUUGUGGGCGCAGGAGAUUUGAGAGAACCUGACACUAGUACGAGAGGACCGUGUUGGACAGACCUCUAGUGUACCUGUUGUGGCGCCAGCUGCAUCGCAGGGUAGCUAUGUUUGGAAGAGAUAAGCACUGAAAGCAUCUAAGUACGAAGCUCGUCUCAAGAUGAGAUCUCCCUUAAGGGUCGUUGA
rnacentral:rRNA from 1 species